GCCCCUCUUUACUUGUUGCUUACUUGAUAACAAGCAAACUGAGGUUCGUGAGAUAUCAUAGUAAGUAACCAGUAAAGAAAUGAAUACUAAUUUUGUCAAGGUCCAUAGAAAUUUCCUUGACAACAUCUCGAGUGCUUAUCGUCAUGAAAGCGAAGUUAUUUGAAACAUGAUCUAAGUUUGCCCUUGGAAGGUGUGACAAAGUUGGAUGUGGACCAACGACACUGGUCGAUGUAAUGCUGAAAUUUGUAGUGAAAAGGUAAAACCAAAGAUGCAGGUUGGUGUACUGCCAGAAUUUGGGUUA
rnacentral:lncRNA from 1 species